UUAACAUGCAGUCGAACGGCAGCACGGGGGCAACCCUGGUGGCGAGUGGCGAACGGGUGAGUAAUAUAUCGGAACGUGCCCUAGAGUGGGGGAUAACUAGUCGAAAGAUUGGCUAAUACCGCAUACGAUCUACGGAUGAAAGUGGGGGAUCGCAAGACCUCAUGCUCAUGGAGCGGCCGAUAUCUGAUUAGCUAGUUGGUGAGGUAAAGGCUCACCAAGGCGACGAUCAGUAGCUGGUCUGAGAGGACGACCAGCCACACUGGAACUGAGACACGGUCCAGACUCCUACGGGAGGCAGCAGUGGGGAAUUUUGGACAAUGGGCGCAAGCCUGAUCCAGCAAUGCCGCGUGAGUGAAGAAGGCCUUCGGGUUGUAAAGCUCUUUUGUCAGGGAAGAAACGGUUGCAGCUAAUAUCUGUGACUAAUGACGGUACCUGAAGAAUAAGCACCGGCUAACUACGUGCCAGCAGCCGCGGUAAUACGUAGGGUGCAAGCGUUAAUCGGAAUUACUGGGCGUAAAGCGUGCGCAGGCGGUUGUGCAAGACAGAUGUGAAAUCCCUGGGCUUAACCUAGGAAUUGCAUUUGUGACUGCACGGCUAGAGUGUGUCAGAGGGGGGUAGAAUUCCACGUGUAGCAGUGAAAUGCGUAGAUAUGUGGAGGAAUACCGAUGGCGAAGGCAGCCCCCUGGGAUAACACUGACGCUCAUGCACGAAAGCGUGGGGAGCAAACAGGAUUAGAUACCCUGGUAGUCCACGCCCUAAACGAUGUCUACUAGUUGUCGGGUCUUAAUUGACUUGGUAACGCAGCUAACGCGUGAAGUAGACCGCCUGGGGAGUACGGUCGCAAGAUUAAAACUCAAAGAAAUUGACGGGAA
rnacentral:rRNA from 2 species